rnacentral:rRNA from 1 species
UAUUAGCUUAAAAUAAGAUUGGAGACUACAAGCAAUAGCUUAAAAACCCAAGAAAUUUGGCGGUGUUUUAUUCAAUCAGGGGGGCCUGUACUUUAAAUCGAUAGUCCACGUUAAACUCUACCUAACUUCAAUACCUUAUUAGCCUGUGUACUGCCGUUUAAUAAGCCCUUAAGGUUUCUUAUAGUCAAUAUAGAAAUUGUAAGUCAGGUCAAAGUGCAGCAUAUAAUUAGGUAUAGUAUGGGUUACACUUUUAAAGAUAUAGUAAAUUUAUAAAUUAAUUUUUAUAAUAAAUUAGGACUUGAUAGUAAUUAUAUAAUUAUUUAUACUAUAAUGAAUAUGAACUUAAAACAAGC